GACGAACGCUGGCGGCGUGCUUAAUACAUGCAAGUCGAGCGAGGUUACUGUUUCGGAUCCCUUCGGGGUGAAGAAGCUUUAACCUAGCGGCGGACGGGUGAGUAACGCGUGGGUAACCUACCCCAAAGUCCGGGAUAACAGCGGGAAACCGCUGCUAAUACCGGAUGCCUUUACCUUGGGGCAUCUUGAGGUAAAGAAAGGCAACGCUUUGGGAUGGGCCCGCGUCCCAUUAGCUAGUUGGUGAGGUAACGGCUCACCAAGGCGACGAUGGGUAGCCGGCCUGAGAGGGUGGACGGCCACACUGGGACUGAGACACGGCCCAGACUCCUACGGGAGGCAGCAGUAGGGAAUAUUGCGCAAUGGACGGAAGUCUGACGCAGCGACGCCGCGUGAGCGAUGAAGGUCUUCGGAUCGUAAAGCUCUGUCCUUGGGGAAGAAGGCGAAAGCUUGACGGUACCCAAGAAGAAAGCCCGGCUAACUACGUGCCAGCAGCCGCGGUAAAGUCACGUCG
rnacentral:rRNA from 1 species